rnacentral:tRNA from 1 species
GCAGAAGUGGUGGAAUGGUAGACACGCUAUCUUGAGGGGGUAGUGAGUGAAUACUCGUAUGGGUUCAAGUCCCAUCUUCUGCACCA